rnacentral:rRNA from 1 species
UACGUAGGGUGCAAGCGUUAAUCGGAAUUACUGGGCGUAAAGCGUGCGCAGGCGGUUUUUGUAAGUCUGAUGUGAAAUCCCCGGGCUCAACCUGGGAAUUGCAUUGGAGACUGCAAGGCUAGAAUCUGGCAGAGGGGGGUAGAAUUCCACGUGUAGCAGUGAAAUGCGUAGAGAUGUGGAGGAACACCGAUGGCGAAGGCAGCCCCCUGGGUCAAGAUUGACGCUCAUGCACGAAAGGCGUGGGGAGCAAACAGG